rnacentral:rRNA from 2 species
GGCGUGCCUAAUACAUGCAAGUCGAGCGGACAGAUGGGAGCUUGCUCCCUGAUGUUAGCGGCGGACGGGUGAGUAACACGUGGGUAACCUGCCUGUAAGACUGGGAUAACUCCGGGAAACCGGGGCUAAUACCGGAUGCUUGAUUGAACCGCAUGGUUCAAUUAUAAAAGGUGGCUUUUAGCUACCACUUACAGAUGGACCCGCGGCGCAUUAGCUAGUUGGUGAGGUAACGGCUCACCAAGGCGACGAUGCGUAGCCAACCUGAGAGGGUGAUCGGCCACACUGGGACUGAGACACGGCCCAGACUCCUACGGGAGGCAGCAGUAGGGAAUCUUCCGCAAUGGACGAAAGUCUGACGGAGCAACGCCGCGUGAGUGAUGAAGGUUUUCGGAUCGUAAAACUCUGUUGUUAGGGAAGAACAAGUACCGUUCGAAUAGGGCGGUACCUUGACGGUACCUAACCAGAAAGCCACGGCUAACUACGUGCCAGCAGCCGCGGUAAUACGUAGGUGGCAAGCGUUGUCCGGAAUUAUUGGGCGUAAAGCGCGCGCAGGCGGUUUCUUAAGUCUGAUGUGAAAGCCCCCGGCUCAACCGGGGAGGGUCAUUGGAAACUGGGGAACUUGAGUGCAGA